CUGCCGAGGCUCCACCCUGCUGAUGUGAGGUUCGCCCUUUUGCUGCAGGCUCUGCCCUUCUGCUGUGGUCUCCGCCCUGUUGCCAUGGGCUACACCCUGCAGAGGAGUCUCUCUGUUGUAUCGGGUUGCCUCAGCAACGGCAGGCUGUGUCAGCAAUGGUGUACCUCUGUAGGGGCUGAUUGCCUCAUUAAUGGCUGACGCCCCUCCCCCGCAGAGCUGCACUUUAAAAAAACCUUUUCACCAGGAGCGUUUGGAAUCGCCGUUUUGUUUGUCGCACUGCACUCCCCCAAAUGCUGAGUCCCUGGGAUUUCCUGGGCUGGGUCACAGUUCAAGACCCAUUCAGUCUCAAGUUCAGCCCUCUCGUGCCGGUUCAACAGGUCACCCUUAACAGUGCGCUUUUGUAUGGAGCACUGUGGAGCGCCUCUGUGCUCCGGCAAUGGCCGGAGCCGCACCAGCUGCCGGCUACACCAGCAGAGACCUCUGCCUGGCGUCCCGCGUCUCUUUUAUACCUGGGAAUUUCCCCGAUCUGUGGGCAACUAAGAUCUGUCUGGAAAUGCUUCCCCGACUCACCCUCUCCAUGCGUCCAGUGAGAGCUUCAAUCCUGGGUUGUUCUCCCAGCGCCAUGUUGAGUCCUCCCACCAAGUUGUCCCUUUUCAUGCAUUGGAAGGGUUCACUCUUAAAGAAGAUGAGAACUGGCUUUUUGGCAAGACCCCAAAGUCUCUGUUGCAGAAGGGAGAAAACAGGAACUUCAGGCAAAUGUGUUGGGUUCUUCGUCCAUGCUAUUUGGUUCUGCUCUCUACAGUCUGCUGUAAGCAUGUUUUUGUCACUGCUGGGCAGAGCAAUGGAAGAAGGAGCAGCUCUCCAUGGUGAAGGGCCCAAAUCCUCCACACAGACUGUGACCUCAAGCCCCUCAAAGAGGCAUGGUGAGCAGAGCCUCUGGCACUUGCUUCUAUUGAGGAAGCUCAGAGACAAGUUUGAUGUUUAAUUACAGCAAGGACGUAUUCCUCAGCUAAGCUGAUGCACAAAACUACUUCUUUUUUUCUUUAGUUCUGAUAUUCAUUAUAUUCAUUUCCUUUUUUAGUAUCAACACUCAUGUAAAUUAUUUUAUUUAUGAAAAUGGAACAAAGUAAGAUAUAAAUAAACUUAGUAAAUCAAAAUAAUUCUGAUUAUAU
rnacentral:lncRNA from 13 species